rnacentral:rRNA from 1 species
AUUGAACGCUGGCGGCAGGCCUAACACAUGCAAGUCGAGCGGUAGCACAGAGAGCUUGCUCUCGGGUGACGAGCGGCGGACGGGUGAGUAAUGUCUGGGAAACUGCCUGAUGGAGGGGGAUAACUACUGGAAACGGUAGCUAAUACCGCAUAACGUCGCAAGACCAAAGAGGGGGACCUUCGGGCCUCUUGCCAUCAGAUGUGCCCAGAUGGGAUUAGCUAGUAGGUGGGGUAACGGCUCACCUAGGCGACGAUCCCUAGCUGGUCUGAGAGGAUGACCAGCCACACUGGAACUGAGACACGGUCCAGACUCCUACGGGAGGCAGCAGUGGGGAAUAUUGCACAAUGGGCGCAAGCCUGAUGCAGCCAUGCCGCGUGUAUGAAGAAGGCCUUCGGGUUGUAAAGUACUUUCAGCGAGGAGGAAGGCAUUGUGGUUAAUAACCACAGUGAUUGACGUUACUCGCAGAAGAAGCACCGGCUAACUC